UACGUAGGGUGCGAGCGUUAAUCGGAAUUACUGGGCGUAAAGCGUGCGCAGGCGGUAUGUUAAGUCUGAUGUGAAAGCCCCGGGCUCAACCUGGGAAUGGCAUUGGAAACUGGCUUGCUGGAGUGUGGCAGAGGGGGGUGGAAUUCCGCGUGUAGCAGUGAAAUGCGUAGAUAUGCGGAGGAACACCGAUGGCGAAGGCAGUCCCCUGGGCCUGUACUGACGCUCAUGCACGAAAGCGUGGGGAGCAAACAGG
rnacentral:rRNA from 1 species